GGUCGCAGCUUCUGAGCCGACA
rnacentral:siRNA from 1 species